AACGAACGCAGGCGGCAGGCUUAACACAUGCAAGUCGAGCGCCCCGCAAGGGGAGCGGCAGACGGGUGAGUAACGCGUGGGAAUCUACCCAUCUCUACGGAAUAACGCAUGGAAACGUGUGCUAAUACCGUAUACGUCCUUCGGGAGAAAGAUUUAUCGGAGAUGGAUGAGCCCGCGUUGGAUUAGCUAGUUGGUGGGGUAAAGGCCUACCAAGGCGACGAUCCAUAGCUGGUCUGAGAGGAUGAUCAGCCACACUGGGACUGAGACACGGCCCAGACUCCUGCGGGAGGCAGCAGUGGGGAAUAUUGGACAAUGGGCGCAAGCCUGAUCCAGCCAUGCCGCGUGAGUGAUGAAGGCCCUAGGGUUGUAAAGCUCUUUCACCGGUGAAGAUAAUGACGGUAACCGGAGAAGAAGCCCCGGCUAACUUCGUGCCAGCCGCCGCGGUAACAC
rnacentral:rRNA from 1 species